rnacentral:rRNA from 1 species
GACGAACCGAGCGAACGUUGUUCGGAAUCACUGGGCUUAAAGGGCGCGUAGGCGGGCAUUCAAGUCCGUGGUGAAAUCCGGCAGCUCAACUGUCGAACUGCCGCGGAUACUGGGUGUCUCGAGGGAGGUAGGGGCGUGCGGAACUAUUGGUGGAGCGGUGAAAUGCGUUGAUAUCAAUAGGAACUCCGGUGGCGAAGGCGGCACGCUGGACCUUUCUGACGCUGAGGCGCGAAAGCCAGGGGAGCAAACAGG